GCACUGGGUGGCUCAGUUGGUAGAGCAUUUGCAUCAUGUGCAGAACCUCUGCUCCUCACCGUGGGUUUAAUUUUCAGCCUCGGGCA